GGUUAAUUCCGUUAACGAACGAGAUCCUAUUCUGCUAACUGUUGCAACAGUCUUUGGAAUGUUGGUACACUUAGAGGGACAUUGCGUGAGUAAUGCACGGAAGAGUCGGGCAAUAACAGGUCUGUGAUGCCCUUAGAUGUCCUGGGCUGCACGCGCGCUACAAUGGCACAUGCCCCAAUGUACCUAUGUCUGACAAGAACAUAGGAUCAAGCAACGAUGCCGUGCCGGGAAUAGAUGAUUGUAAUUUUUUAUCUUGAACGAGGAAUUCCUAGUAAGAACAGAUCAACAAUCUGUGCUGAUUACGUCCCUGCCCUUUGU
rnacentral:rRNA from 1 species